rnacentral:pre_miRNA from 1 species
CAUCAGAUAGCUUAUCAGACUGGUGUUGGCUGUUAGGUUCCCAUGGCAACAGCAGUCUGUAAGCUGUCUGAAG